ensembl:lncRNA
GUGGUCAGGCAGGUGGGCUCAGAGUCAGGACAGGCAGAGUGGUCAGGCAGGUGGGCUCAGAGUCAGGACAGGCAGAGUGGUCAGGCAGGCGGGCUCAGAGUCAGGACAGGCAGAGUGGUCAGGCAGGUGGGCUCAGAGUCAGGACAGGCAGAGCGGUCAGGCAGGUGGGCUCAGAGUCAGGGCAGGCAGAGCGGUCAGGCAGGUGGGCUCAGGGUCAGGACAGGCAGAGUGGUCAGGCAGGUGGGCUCAGAGUCAGGACAGGCAGAGUGGUCAGGCAGGUGGGCUCAGAGUCAGGACAGGCAGAGUGGUCAGGCAGGUGGGCUCAGAGUCAGGACAGGCAGAGUGGUCAGGCAGGUGGGCUCAGGGUCAGGCAGGUGGGCUCAGAGUCAGGACAGGCAGAGUGGUCAGGCAGGCGGGCUCAGAGUCAGGACAGGCAGAGUGGUCAGGCAGGCGGGCUCAGAGUCAGGACAGGCAGAGUGGUCAGGCAGGUGGGCUCAGAGUCAGGACAGGCAGAGUGGUCAGGCAGGUGGG